CCGGUCGUUAGAGCGAGCAGUAUCGUGGCGAGAAUUAGGAUCAUCAUUUCGUGUGAUCGGUUUCCACUCGAGGAAUCGCGCACGUGAUUAGGCGCCGGCGAUGGUCCACUCUUUUGAAGAACGUGAAAUACUGAAGAUGGCCAUCUGCAUGUAUAAAUGGGAAGAGUGAAAUUUUUGUGCGUGUCCCUCGAGCAGAAUGUGUGCAGCCUUGGACCAGCUGGAUCGCCAAUCUCGCUGUACUCGUGUAUCGUCAGAUUCCAAGCGGUGCAGGGUCCUGUGGCGAGAAAGAAUGAAUAUUCCAACGCGUGUCGUGACUGGUCAUUACUAGACUGCGGAAGUUUAUGUACGAUAAAUAUGUAACAUGCAUAUGUAAAAUAUGCUCGAAAAAUUUGCAAAAUAUGCAAGGUAUAUAGGUACAUAUAAAAUGUAGUACAGUAAGUAAUAUAUUAGUAUGUUACAGAAAAUACUUUUCACAAUUAUUCUGGUAUAUUAUGAUUCGUGUGACAAUAAAUUACGAGCAUUUUUUCUAAAUUUAAUGGUGUUAGUUGGUAGCGUUUGUCUAUUGAAAUUAAUUUAUACGCGGAGAAUGAUUGCUCUACGUCACACGAAGUAAUCGGUGCGUAUUUAAAUUUGGACAACAU